rnacentral:rRNA from 1 species
GUAGGUGGCAAGCGUUGUCCGGAAUUAUUGGGCGUAAAGCGCGCGCAGGCGGGGUCCUUUAAGUCUGAUGUGAAAGCCCACGGGCUCAACCGUGGAGGGUCAUUGGAAACUGGGGGACUUGAGUACAGAAGAGGAAAGCGGAAUUCCAAGUGUAGCGGUGAAAUGCGUAGAGAUUUGGAGAAACACCAGUGGCGAAGGCGGCUUUCUGGUCUGUAACUGACGCUGAGGCGCGAAAGCGUGGGGAGCAAACAGGAUUAGAUACCCUGGUAGCCCACGCCGUAAACGAUGAGUGCUAAGUGUUAGGGGGUUUCCGCCCCUUAGUGCUGCAGCUAACGCAUUAAGCACUCCGCCUGGGGAGUACGGCCGCAAAGGCUG